rnacentral:lncRNA from 1 species
GGAUUCCUUUUCUUUUCUGCCUGCCUUCUCUUUGGAGUCGGGAGGCAGCUUUCCUGAACCUUUCUGUAUGCAGGACCUACAUUUACUAGCCCGCCCCAUGAAGCCCAGGCAAGACCAUGCUACACUUUGCAAAACAAUUUAGGGGAAAUUUGCUAAUAUUUUAAAACUCAUGCGGUAAACUCCCAUGACACCCCAGACAAGCGGCAGAAGUUCUGUUUGGUGCAAGCGGCAAAAAACCCACAACCUAUUGGUGUUUACAUGUGUAUUCAGCCAUGAAAUUGAAUAUUAUCAGAGUUUAAAAAUGCAAAUCAAAUUAAAAGCAGAGAAAAUUGCCUUUGGAAUUAUAGUACCCAGGAGCUCCAGAGUGUUUGCUUAAAUAGAAGCACUGUUAAAAACAAAACAAAACAAAAACCCCCAAAACGGACAGGGUUUAAACUGCCCUCUCACUGUUGUCUCCCACUUCCAUGGACUCAUUGUUUAGUUCUACCUGGAAAUAACGUUCACGCAGAGGUACAAACCGUCCACCAUUAACAACAAAUCACGCUUUGUUUCCCCAAAACAUUUCUUUUCUUAAAUAUCAAAUUGCCCUCCUUUAGCCAUGAGUCCGCGUCCCUAAAAUCAGGCCUCCUUCUGCAUCCCCAAUUCGCACUUAGAGCUUAGCUAAGCUGAGCUGAGCCGCGGUUUAGGUCACCCAGGAAGCAUUCAAGGUGCAUGGCUGGUGAGGGGACUGGAGCUUUAGAAACCGCGCAAGCACUGGGCGAGCCAGGAACUGUGUACUGGUGAGCAGAGCCGCCCGCGGCCCCAGUCGUUUCCAUCUCGCGGACCGCUAGCUGCAGAGCUGAGCCAAGGUUUCCGAGAGUCCGCGCGGGCCCAGGUACAAUGCUUCUCCCCCUCUGCUCUCAUAGAGGGACACUGCAGGGCCAAACGAAAAGAGAAAAGCCCGCCAAGUAUUGGGGGAGGGGAGGGGUAAAUAGAAAACCCUGAGAAGCCAGGAAAGCAGGUGAGAGGGGUGACCUUUGGCCCCGUGAUCCAAGUUCUAGAAUGUGGGGAUCCCACCCUUGACAGCCUGAUAGCCAGCCAGGAGGGGGCCAGACCUACUCCACUGUCCCCACAGUGGGCACAACACUUUACUUCUCUCCCACCCCUCCCCCAAGUCUGUGAGUCUCUGGGAAAAACCAAGCUUGGAUGUCUGCUUCAGAUGCCAAGGUCAGCAGAAUUCAGAGACAGCUUUGGGCCAAGUGUGAGCCAGACCAAGGUAGCUACAUCCACCUGGGUUCUAGACGAGGGUUGUGAGGACCCUCACAGUGGCCAGGCUGUGCUAGGGUAGGGUAAGAAAACCUUUUUGCUAUUUGGUGAGCUCUGAGGAUCUUCGUUUCGCACUUGUCCACACAUUCUGGGCCCAAGCAGCCUUGGCUCUAGAUUAGAGUCUCUAAUGACAAUCUUUUUCUCCUCUAGAGAGCAGGACAGUUUGGAGGCCUGUGCGUCAUUCCUUCCUCCCUCCAGCCUAUCUUAGACCUGGUGAUUUGUAGGAUCAGCCCCCGACCACAUUACUGGAUGAUAAUUCCUGUCCUGCUGUGGGCAGCAGAGGAAGCCGGGUUUUACUUGAAACCUGCCAGUCUAUUUCUUUUUCAGGAACCCCACCGGUGCAGAACCGUGCCACUGCACCCAUAAGACAGCCCGAGGCUCCUGGCAGACCCUUGACUGAAAGUGGCAACUCCCUCUGGACUGUGUGAGGGCCAGGGGUGAGAGGGUGACAGCAGGAAGAGGCCACCACCCAAGGACAGCUCUGAGCCGGAAUCCUGGAGGAAACGUUAUUAAUAAACAUCUUCUGGACAUUUGGCAGCCCGUGGAGCUUGCUCCAGCUUAAAGCAAUUAAUUCAGGACACCGACAUCAACUCUCCAGGUCUUUGACAGCUUGGAGCCGAAAUAAAAAUGCUAGUUCUCCGGGGAAGAGGGGAGGAGGGCCCGCUCUUUGCUGGACUGUUUGCUUAUGGGCCCAGCGAGCAACCUUCCCUGCAGAAUGAAAUGCAAGGUCGCACACAACGAACCGGCAGAGAAUAGAAGAUGGGAACGAACAGUUUGAACUAUUUGCUCAGCAGAAGGGCACCACAAUGCUGGGGUAGUGGCUUUCCCAUGCAUCCACUGUCCCUUCUUUGGGAUCUUUUGUUGUCCCGUCUCCUUUGGCCAGAUAAGAACACAGCUGCAGCCUUGUGGCUAAGUAAGGCUUCACUUAUCCCCUUAAAUCUCGGGGUGUCUUUUACUGUACCAGGCAUAGAUCAGUUCUUUCUUUUGACCAGGGGACUGGGAGGGAGGGAAGGAAGAAUUGAGGGGGAGGGAACAGACGGAAGACUCUCACAUUGCUGAUGUCUGGUUCAUGCCUUUCUUUCUCUCCUUUUUAAAUCCAAGCUGGGAUAAGAUGUGAUCUUUGUGGGCCAGUUUUAUUAAAGGGUCAGUGUUUUGUGCCAAAAUGUUGCCUCUGGGUGAGAGCUGUGUGUGUAUGCUGUGUAGGGAAGAGUAGUUUUUAAAACUGAGUGUCAAGCCAUUUUCAGAUUCCGUCAGCUGCUAAAAUAGGGCAGAAUUUGAAGGAGUUAAUUUAAAAAUUAUUCAACUGCAAUAGUAAGUUUCUGAAUAUGAAUUUGGGUUCUUCCUCUGGCAGUUCAUUUGUUCCAAAGUGUGUAAUGGUGGUGUAUCAUAUUCGAAAGAGGUUGACCCAGAGAUGGGGCAUAAACGUGCUUCUGUACUUGCUGGAAAUUACACUUAUUCCCAGAGUAAAUUCCACCUCCAGCAUCAGUAAUGUGCUCUCUCCUACAUGCACCCUCGUACAAAGCACAGCUUGUUUUAACCACCACAAAAGAAAGUGGACACAUGCA